CGUGCUCCGUGGACAGGCCGACGUUGAUGGCGUGCCGGAACGCCUUGGUCCACGUCACGAUGACCGCCUCCAGCGCCUCCCACGCCAUCCUCGCCACGUCGUCGACGUUGGGCUUGUCGUAGCCGAGCCCCCGCAGCGCCGCGUCGAACGCGUUCCGCCGCGUGACCAGGAAUAUCUGCGAGCACUCCGUCACGUAGCCCGCGGCGACCAUGGCGUCGGCCAUGGCGCGGAGCCGGUCCACGGUCUCCGGCGGGUACGGCGGCGCGGGCUCGUCCCGUCCGGCGGCGUCCGGCGGCGCGAGGACGCAGCGGUCGGGCUCGUGCUCGCCCCCGGCCCUGGGGACGCGCGGGCCCUCCAGCAGCGCGUGGAACUCUUCCUCGACGAACGCCAUGGCCCGGUGCAGCACGGCCGUGACUCGGCUCACGGCGGCGGCGUGCUUGCCGCCUCCCUCGGGGCUCUUGCCGAGCGCCGACGCGAGCGCCGCGAUGCGCGUGACCGCGGCCAGCAGCGCCGGCGGCUCGCCGGCGGCGGCCUCCACGGCCCACUUCUCCUCGGCGCCCUCGGAGCUGGCGACCAGCAGCUCGACGGCGGACGCGAACCUGUCCAGCGUCGCCUCCGUGACGCUCACCGGCGUGCCCUCGUCCUGGCCCGCGAGGAACGCGUCCACCUCCGCCGACAACGCGGCGAGGUCCGGCUCGCCGCAGCAUCCCCCUCCCACCGAGCCCGGACCCUCGCCGCCUCCUCGCGCGGCCCCAUGGUCACCACCUCCCUCUUGCUCGUCCUCCUCGCUGAUGGACUGCUCUCUGGAGCCUCCGUACGGGAGGUCCCUCUUGUCGCGGAGCGCGCCGAGGGAGAAGUUGCGGUCGACCUCCCGGGUCCUGCCGCCGCCCUCGUCGCGGGUUGUCGCCGGCGAGAAGCUGCUGGACUUGUAGGGCGCUUGGCUCCGGCUGUCCAUCUCUAGUGGGUGGGCGGCCGAGGGAAGAAUGAGCAACGGCGAGGCCAGUGGUUGUUUGUUCGCAUGGAUGGCUGAGGACG
rnacentral:misc_RNA from 1 species